rnacentral:rRNA from 1 species
AGCAGCCGCGGUAAUUCCAGCUCCAAUAGCGUAUAUUAAAGUUGUUGCAGUUAAAAAGCUCGUAGUUGAAUUUCGGGAUCAAUACGUCGGUCGUGCUUCGGUACGUACUGGCGUAAUUGAUUUCUCCCUUCUGACGAACCAUGAUGUCAUUAACUUGGUGUCAUGGGAAAUCAGGACUGUUACUUUGAAAAAUUAGAGUGUUUAAAGCAGGCUCACGCUUGAAUACAUUAGCAUGGAAUAAUGAAAUAGGACGUUCGAUCCUAUUUUGUUGGUUUUUAGGAUCAACGUAAUGAUUAAUAGGGAUAGUUGGGGGCAUUAGUAUUCAAUUGUCAGAGGUGAAAUUCUUGGAUUUAUUGAAGACUAACUACUGCGAAAGCAUUUGCCAAGGAUGUUUUCAUUAAUCAAGAACGAAAGUUAGGGGAUCGAAGACGAUCAGAUACCGUCGUAGUCUUAACCAUAAACUAUGCCGACUAGGGAUCAGACGAUGUUAAUUUUUAAUGUACUCAUUCGGCGCCUUACG